rnacentral:lncRNA from 1 species
AGCAACGCAGGCAUGAACCCUAAACAAAAUUGGCGCUGGAUACCUAAGAGCAAGAAGAAACGAGGAAUCUACCGGAUCGGGAUCUUUUGGAGACGAGUGAACAGGUAUACGACCACCAUCUUCUUUCUCCUUUGCUAAUGCUAAUGGCUUUUUGUGAAGCUUUUCUCCCAGAACUCUUGCUAACCUUUUUUCUCUCCAGGGUUCUUCGUCGUUCCCAGCCGCCGUCCCACACUCUAGGGUUUUUUCGCCGUCUGAAAAAUUAGGGUUUUUCGUGGUCGCCCUCUCCUCUUUUUAUACUCAGCUUGCUAGGGUUCUGAACUGGCUUAUAGUAAUCAAAAGGGUAUGCUUUUGGGAGUGCUUUAAGGUGUUCAGUUUGUUUGCCUC